rnacentral:pre_miRNA from 1 species
UAACAUCCGCAGAUUGGCCGGCCCCAGGCUGGGCUGGGCGAGUAUCUCUUCGAAAGGCUCACCCUCAAGCAUGGUCAAGAGC